rnacentral:piRNA from 1 species
CAGUAGUUAAGAAUGCUGGCUGCUAGUA